rnacentral:lncRNA from 1 species
CUGUUACCCAAUACGGUUACACAAAGCCGAAUGCACUUGAAUACCACUUGACGGGUAACAGGAUACUUAUUGAACUUGUCAUGUUCUCCAAUGGUGGUACCUGCAAUCUCCUGAGCGUUCCGUACCAGGGUACAAAAUUGGGAUGCGAGCUUUGGGUCAUCGAGAGCAGCAUUGACAAAGUCCCCGCCUGCUGCCUCUUCAUGUUUCGUCUGCUGUGCCCAAAGAAUGUCCUGUACAACGUUUACGACAACACGUGCAAGAGUGUCCUGAACC